rnacentral:rRNA from 1 species
AUGGAUAGUGAUGCCCCAUGUCUUAUCUCGUUGGAACUAGGAGAUUCUCAGGGCUUGACUCCUUCCCUUGAGGAGAUGCCAUUACUGGGAAAAGCAUCCAUUUUGCUUGGCCGUGCGUACUGUGGUGUCUGUGAAACUGACGAGGACGAUUUUCUUACAUGUGGAUGUGCCAGCGAGAAGUGUCUGCUUCUCAACGGAUUGUCCAAUGCUGUUGAGUUGAAAUUGAUUGCUAUGCCUGAAUUGGUAUGCUCUGCACUAUCUUUCUUACUCUUACUGUUACUUUGCCAGUUGCCACCCAUAGUUUCUGUUGUAGCUGUAGUAUUUAUAUCCAUUGUUAGAGCCGCAUAUAGUCUAGUUACUUAUUUUCACACCACAGCUUCCUAA